rnacentral:rRNA from 1 species
UACGGAGGGUGCGAGCGUUGUCCGGAAUCACUGGGCGUAAAGGGCGCGUAGGUGGCUCACGCAAGCGUGCGGCGAAAGCCCGGGGCUCAACCCCGGGUCGGCCGUGCGGACUGCGGGGCUCGAGCACUGUAGGGGCAGAUGGAAUUCCGGGUGUAGCGGUGGAAUGCGUAGAGAUCCGGAAGAACACCGGUGGCGAAGGCGGCUAUCUGGCCCGUAAUUGACGCUGAGGCGCGAAAGCGUGGGGAGCAAACAGG